UUACGGCCACAGCACGUUGAUACACUGGUUCCUGUACGAUCUCCGAAGUUAAGUAACGUCGAUCCAUGUCAGUACCUAUAUGGAUGUCCACUUGGGAAUACUAUGUGCUGUAAG